GCUCGCUCCUGCCCGGCAGAGUGUGCUCCCCGGGCUGCACUUCCCAGCGGGAUGCGGGGAGCAGGUCCUGGUGCCGACCCCGGAUGGAUGGAGCAGGAAUGAGGAAGGAGGUCCUGGCCCAGACCCCAGACUAAUGGAGAGGGACCAAGGAAGGAGGCCCAUGUGUGGUCCCUGGAUUGCUGGAGCUGGGCUGAGGAAGCAGGUCCUUUUGGUCUCAGCUGCUGAUGAAGUGCUGGGCUAUCUGUUGCAGAUGACUUUAGGCAAGUCGUGUUUGCCACGGCCACGCUCGGCGGAGCCACUGCGGGAAUAUGCAAAAUAAAUGUUAUGAAAGCAACAUGAUUAAA